rnacentral:lncRNA from 1 species
ACUCAUUGAUCAACAUGAAAUGAAGUGUAAAGAUUGUGUUCACCUAUUGAAAAUUAAAAAGACAUUUUGUUUAUGUAAAAGAUUAACAGAACUUAAAGAUAAUCACUGUGAGCAACUUAGAGUAAAAAUUCGAAAACUGAAAAAUAAGGCUAGUGUACUACAAAAGAGACUAUCUGAAAAAGAAGAAAUAAAAUCGCAGUUAAAGCAUGAAACACUUGAAUUGGAAAAAGAACUCUGUAGUUUGAGAUUUGCCAUACAGCAAGAAAAAAAGAAAAGAAGAAAUGUUGAAGAGUUGCACCAAAAAGUUAGGGAAAAGUUAAGAAUCACAGAAGAGCAAUAUAGGAUAGAAGCUGAUGUGACAAAACCAAUUAAACCGGCUCUCAAAUCAGCAGAGGUGGA